rnacentral:tRNA from 1 species
GCCCCUUUAGCUUAGUGGUAAAGCAAACCCUUCGUAAGGGUAAGACAUCGGUUCGAUUCCGGUAUGGGGCU